rnacentral:rRNA from 1 species
CAGCAGCCGCGGUAAAACGGAGGGGGCUAGCGUUGUUCGGAAUUACUGGGCGUAAAGCGCAUGUAGGCGGCUUGGUAAGUUAGAGGUGAAAGCCUGGAGCUCAACUCCAGAAUUGCCUUUAAGACUGCCGAGCUAGCAGGUGAGAGAGGUAAGUGGAAUUCCGAGUGUAGAGGUGAAAUUCGUAGAUAUUCGGAAGAACACCAGUGGCGAAGGCGGCUUACUGGCUCAUACUGGACGCUGAGGUGCGAAAGCGUGGGGAGCAAACAGGAUUAGAGACCCCAGUAGUCCCUGUCUCUUAUAC